UACGUAGGUGGCAAGCGUUGUCCGGAUUUACUGGGCGUAAAGAGCGCGCAGGCGGCUGGUCAAGUCCGAUGUGAAAUCUCCCGGCUUAACUGGGAAACUGCAUCGGAAACUGAUCGGCUUGAAGGUGGGAGAGGGUAGUGGAAUUCCCGGUGUAGUGGUGGAAUGCGUAGAGAUCGGGAGGAAUACCAGUGGCGAAAGCGGCACCCUGGCCUUGGCCUGACGCUCAUGUGCGAAAGCGUGGGGAGCAAACGGG
rnacentral:rRNA from 1 species